UACGUAAGCAGCAAGCGUUGUUCGGAGUUACUGGGCGUAAAGGGUGCGUAGGCGGCUUUUUAAGUUUGGUGUGAAAUCUCCCGGCUCAACUGGGAGGGUGCGCCGAAUACUGAGAGGCUAGAGUGUGGGAGAGGAAAGUGGAAUUCCUGGUGUAGCGGUGAAAUGCGUAGAUAUCAGGAGGAACACCGGUGGUGUAAACGGCUUUCUGGACCAUAACUGACGCUGAGGCACGAAAGCGUGGGUAGCAAACAGG
rnacentral:rRNA from 1 species